GAUGAACGCUGGCGGCGUGCCUAAUACAUGCAAGUCGAGCGAACAGACGAGGAGCUUGCUCCUUCGACGUUAGCGGCGGACGGGUGAGUAACACGUAGGUAACCUACCUAUAAGACUGGGAUAACUUCGGGAAACCGGAGCUAAUACCGGAUAAUAUUUCGAACCGCAUGGUUCGAUAGUGAAAGAUGGCUUUGCUAUCACUUAUAGAUGGACCUGCGCCGUAUUAGCUAGUUGGUAAGGUAACGGCUUACCAAGGCAACGAUACGUAGCCGACCUGAGAGGGUGAUCGGCCACACUGGAACUGAGACACGGUCCAGACUCCUACGGGAGGCAGCAGUAGGGAAUCUUCCGCAAUGGGCGAAAGCCUGACGGAGCAACGCCGCGUGAGUGAGGAAGGUCUUCGGAUCGUAAAACUCUGUUAUUAGGGAAGAACAAACGUGUAAGUAACUGUGCACGUCUUGACGGUACCUAAUCAGAAAGCCACGGCUAACUACGU
rnacentral:rRNA from 1 species